rnacentral:rRNA from 1 species
UACGGAAGGCAGCAGUGGGGAAUAUUGCACAAUGGGCGAAAGCCUGAUGCAGCUAUGCCGCGUGUAUGAAGAAGGCCUUAGGGUUGUAAAGUACUUUCAUCGGGGAGGAAAAAACAAAACUAAUAAUUUUAUUUCUUGACGUUACCCGAAAAAGAAGCACCGGCUAACUCCGUGCCAGCAGCCGCGGUAAUACGGAGGGUGCUAGCGUUAAUCAGAAUUACUGGGCGUAAAGAGCACGUAGGUGGUUUUUUUAAGUCAGAUGUGAAUCCCUGGGCUUAACCUAGGAACUGCAUUUUGAAACUGAAAUACUAGAGUAUCGUAGAGGGAGGUAGAAUUCUAGGUGUAGCGGUGAAAUGCGUAGAUAUCUGGAGGAAUACCUGUGGCGAAAGCGGCCUCCUAAACGAAUACUGACACUGAGGUGCGAAAGCGUGGGGAGCAAACAGGAUUAGAUACC